CACUAAUGAAAGAUAAAAUUGGCUAAUAAAACAAAGUAGAGGGGUAUAUUUGGCCCGUUACCCUACUAUUUUCUUUUUUGUUUGGUUAAGUUGGAAAAAGGAGAUGGUACUUUUAUAAUACUCCAUCUCUUUUGUUCUUGGGUAACCCUCAUCAGCCAGAUGAGUUUCAUCCGUAAGCAGCUACGCUAUAUAUCACCAAUAACUGAACACCUUUAAAAUAUCAAGAGAGAGAUUAACAAGGAAAUAGAAUCUUAUGAAAAUCUACAUUAUUGUCUUACUAAGUUUUCAUAUCUACACAAGCAUCCAAUGAAAUUUCUACUAAAAGAAAAACAAAGAAACUAGACUCCUACUCCUAACAUUUUCUAUCAUGAGAUAAUCUUAUCAAAAUCUACUUUGAUUGUCUCACAACCCUUCGUAUCUUUAAAGAAGAUAAGCACCCAAUAAUUUGACUUAUUCUCCUAUUUAACAUUUUGUAAUUCGAAGUCGUGGUCGACGUAUUAUUUAACAGCAGCUGAUAUAUAGUGUGUACACACCUUGGCGAAUGAAAGGUCACAUUUUUAUAGGUAUACAUAAUAGACGAUAAAUUCUUAGAUGAAAAUGUUUUCUAAAUGGGUCGACCUGGAUCCAUGGAGAUCCUUGCUAAGAGCAAGGCUCUUUCUU